rnacentral:rRNA from 1 species
GAUGAACGCUGGCGGCGUGCCUAACACAUGCAAGUCGAGCGGACGGACGCGACUUUUGCUUCUCUGAUGUGAGCGGCGGACGGGUGAGUCACACGUGUAUACCCGACCUAUAAGACUGAGAUCACUACGGGAAAGCGGAUCUAACACCGGAUAAUAUUUUGAACCGCGGGGUUCAUAAGUGAAAGACGGUCUUGCUGUCACUAAUAGAGGGUUCCGGGCUGUAUUAGCUAGUUGGUACGGUAACGGCUUACCAAGGCUACGAUGCGUAGCCGAACUGAGAGGGUGAUCGGCCACACUGGAACUGAGACACGGUCCAGACUCCUACGGGAGGCAGCAGUAGGGAAUCUUCCGCAAUGGGCGAAAGCCUGACGGAGCAACGCCGCGUGAGUGAUGAAGGUCUUCGGAUCGUAAAGCUCUGUUAUUAGGGAAGAACAGCUGUGUAAGUAAACGUGCACAUCUUGACGGUACCUAAUCAAGAAGCAACGGCUAACUACGUG